GCAGACGUGUCUGUAGAACCUGCAUACUGGCAAUCAAACUUGUGAAUAAAGAUUUGUUGAAAACUCCAGUAGUCGUUUCUCAGACCACUAAAUUAUCUUGUCUCAGACAUUCAGAAAAUAUUGAU